UCCAGGUGGCCACCUGGCUCCAAGUCCGGCCCCGCCCGGCCUCUGGGUUCAGCGCCUAGGGUGAUCUGGCUUAGACGGGGUCUCCUUCCCGCCUGAGUACGAGAAGACGCUGAACGCAGCUUUGCCCGCAGCUUCAUCCAGGCCGGGCCAGAGCCCAGAUUGGGCCUGGGUCUCUGCUGGGUAGGGGAAGACGAGGCCGCCUCCUAGGCAGAGUGGGAAAUGGAAACCUCGAAUAGGACACGUUGACUCCUCCGGGGCUGAGUGUUAAGAACUGACAGCAAGAUUCUCGGGUCUAACCCAAAGGUCGGUCUGUCUGCACUCUGACCCCUGCUGGACUUCAGCCACCUGGAGUCAAGGUCUCCUCCUGCAUCCGGAAGGAGGACCUAAAUCAAGGAGCUCCGAACUGCUCACGUCCAAAAGGGUAAAAGGAAGCAAUCUGUACGUGGUUCCCCAAGCACGCAUGGAGGAAGGUUUUUGUUGAAGAAAGGGGAUUGAAAGAGAGACCACAUGACUAGAUUUCUUCCGUCCGUCCCUCCCCGCCCCCCCCCCACCGCUCCCCAAGAAGAAGACAGCCAUAUCAAGGCAGAGGUAGAGCGCAGGUUAUUGUGAAACCCACGGCCUCUGGCCACCAAAGGAAACGGAGCUGCAGCUUGUAAAAUUAGGUAUUCCUCAGAACAGGCCUGGUUUCUCUUUGUGAUUAGCGCCUAUAUCAUCUUUUUUUCCCAUCUUAAGUCUGGCUGAAUGAUAUAGAAAAUGAAAGAUACAUUUUCAUGGGAAGAUUCUUACCUGGAAAAUUCUUCCCUUCCUGUCUUCUUAAUUUACUGGUCCCUUCUCCCCCUUUCCCCCUUUGGAAAGAUAAAUCCUUGCUCCAUCCAACUGUUUAUCCUCGGGGAUCUUUCCACUUCCACACUUGCGUAUUUAUCUGACCCUUCCGGGUUUGCAUUUGCGGAGGUUAGGGGGCUCUCCCCAGGCAAUGCUUCCAACCCCCCACCCCCUGCUUGGCUAAGACCUGCUAGCAGUGCUCGCUGGGCCUCGGAGUUGGUCCAGGCUCUGCCGCAGGUUCUGUUGUGUGCACUGGAAUAUUGAUUUUUCAGUGUGUGCGCGCGGCUCUGUAAAAAAAAAAAAAAUCAAUAUUUCAGUAGCUCAAGCACACAGCGCGGGGCAGUGUAAUGGAGCCGGCCUGCUGAUGUAAUGUGCGGGGUCCACCUUCAGCGACUGAGGUCAGACAAAGGCAGUGUCCGUCCCUCUUCCAUUGUUUGCUUCACGGACAGGGGAGGGGGUCGGCCUACGCUUGUGUCCAUCAGAGGCCAAGCUCCUGGGUAGCAUAGAAAGGGGGGGGGGGCAAAGCUGAUGGCUGCGAAUGUUCUAUUAUCCAUUUAUGUGAGAACUCUUGCAUAAAACAUUAGGCAAUGUGGAGUUAUUCCCAGCCAUCAGUUUACCAAAUUUUACUAGGAACAAAAGAAAACAGACUUGCUCCAGGACAAGCCCUGAGUUGGUCUUUUAGUAACUGGCUAUCUGGAAGCGUAUUAGCCUUCUGUCCCAUAACGAGCCUCUGCCUAAAAAGACAACAGAUUUCUCACUGGCUUCAAAGGGGAAAACAGAUCAGUAAGUGUUGGUGCCUGGGGGCUGGCUAUCUUCAUGACCUCAGCAGCUGAUGAGGACAGGAGGCUAGACCUGAGUGAGGUAUGUGGGUCCUCUGGGCUCUCCCACUAGAUGAACCCCCUGUUUUUACCGGUAACUUAAAGGGUUAGAUUCUGCGACUUCUGAAUAUCCUUCUAGCUACUACAGCUCUACAGAAGAAAAGAUGGUAUAGCCAAAGACAAAAGUAUAAUUAUGUUAAGUGUGGCUCUUAGAUAAGAAAAUGGAUUAAUACCAAGGACAUUUUUGAGGCAGAAGGUGCCUUGUUCCAACUCUAGCUGGCUGUGAUUUAAAUUCCAUUGCAUUGCCAUCUUUUUAGAGGGUAAUUUGGCCAUUUUCUAAAAUACACUUUUUUUUGACCCAGCUCUUCUUGUUCUAAGUUUCCCUAAAGAAACACUAUCAUUUAAAUGAAAUUCACCGCUUGCAUUUGUGUGUCACUGAAACACUGGAAACAACGUGGGACCUAUCACAUAAUACACGUUUUCUCUUCCAGAGGACGUCGGAAACUGCCAUGGAAACGCAGAGACCAGGCCUUUGUAAGGCCUCACAUCUCCCCCGCUGCCACCCUGUUUUGCAGCCCCCCUGCCGUCUGGCUCCUUUUCUAGCCUCCUCUGGUGCUUCAGGUCUGGACCACAUCCAUUUUCUGGACCCUCAUCACUCACUCCCCACACAUACACUUAUUUUCCUUCUUUAAUUUAAAUAUUUUUUCUUUCGUUUUUAAUUAUUUGUAUGAGCGUGAGCUUUUACACAUGAGCACAGUGCUUGUGGAAGGCAGAAGAGGGUACCAGAUCCACCUGUACCAUUUGUAGGCCCGAAGCCUCCUCAUGUGGGUGCUAGGAUCUGAACCUGGGUCCUCUGUAAGAACUGAGAGUCCUCUUAACCACUGAGCCCUCUCGAUGGCCUUGCCUUUAACUUGCAAACAACAUAGACAUCACGUCUGAAAGUGUGUGAAAGGGCAAGCCCAGCCCAGCACUCGGAACUCAG